CGGGAAGGCAGCAGUGGGGAAUAUUGCACAAUGGGCGCAAGCCUGAUGCAGCCAUGCCGCGUGUAUGAAGAAGGCCUUCGGGUUGUAAAGUACUUUCAGUCGUGAGGAAGGUGUUAAGGUUAAUAACCUUAGCAAUUGACGUUAGCGACAGAAGAAGCACCGGCUAACUCCGUGCCAGCAGCCGCGGUAAUACGGAGGGUGCGAGCGUUAAUCGGAAUUACUGGGCGUAAAGGGCACGCAGGCGGUUAAUUAAGUUGGAUGUGAAAUCCCCGGGCUUAACCUGGGAAUGGCAUUCAAGACUGGUUAGCUAGAGUCUUGUAGAGGGGGUAGAAUUCCAUGUGUAGCGGUGAAAUGCGUAGAGAUGUGGAGGAAUACCGGUGGCGAAGGCGGCCCCUGGACAAAGACUGACGCUCAUGUGCGAAAGCGUGGGGAGCAAACAGGGAUUAGAUACC
rnacentral:rRNA from 1 species